rnacentral:rRNA from 1 species
UUUUUAAGAGUUUGAUCCUGGCUCAGGAUUAAUGCUAGCGGUGUGCCUAAGAUAUGCAAGUCGAACGAUCCCGGUGCAAAUCGGGGAAGUGGCGGACGGCUGAGUAAUACGUACGAAGUUACCCUUACCUCGUGAAUACCCCCGCGAAAGCGGGGCUAAUACACGAUAUUUCCUGCCCUAAAAAGCGUGGAAAAAGGACAUAACUUUCCGGGUAAGGAGAUGCGUACGGACUAUCAGGUAGUUGGUAGGGUAACGGCCUACCAAGCCUAUGACGGUUAUCCGGCUCGUGAUGAGUGACCGGACAGAGGAGCACUGAGAUACGGGCUCCACACCUACGGGUGGCAGCAAUCGGGAAUAGUUGGCAAUGGGCGAAAGCCUGACCACGCGACACCGCGUGUAGGAAGAAGUUCUUAUUGAGCGUAAACUACUGUGGUAGGGGAUAAAGUCCCGCUUUAGGGCGGGAUUGAUAGUACCUUACUAGAAAGUGACCGCUAAUUGCGUGCCAGCAGCGGCGGUAAUACGUGAGUCACAAGCAUUAUCCGGUGUUACUGGGCGUAAAGUGUGUGU